rnacentral:misc_RNA from 1 species
AACUGGCAAAACCAUUGAACAGUAGCCACCUGCAAAAUACAAUCAACACGAGAACAAUUUUAACUUUUUCAUUAUCCAUAUUCAACAAUAUAAAGGCCACAAAGGAUCCAAGCAUCCAACUAAUCUCAGAAACUAUAAUAGAAGGUAAAUGCUAAGUAGCAGCAAGAAUGGUCAUCACUUGGUGUGCAGCAUUAUAGACUAUUAAAACUAUCAUUGUGAUGCUGCCAUGAGCCUCUGAAAUUCAAUCUUGGUGCCACGUGAGGCUACAAAAUACAGAAAUGCGAGGUUGGUAGUCUUCUAGCCAGUCACUCCGAUGCUCAAGUUAGAAUUUGUAGAUAGAGAGUGUAAAUGAAAAUCAGAUAGUAAAUGAAUAGUAAUUUUGACAGAAUUUUUGAACCUGAUUCAUGGCAGUUUCUAAUAUUUAUAGGCUUAAGUAAAAUAACCAUUGUAGCUAUUUGCCACAAUCUUGAAAGUUUAGUUGAUAUCCAGAGAUUGUUUCCUAUGAAUUCAAGCUUAAUCUUUGACUUGGCGAUGUUGUAGCUUGGCAUAUAUGAUACUCAGCUUGACAGGUGAGCUUUAACACUGCUGGUCAUAUCGGUCUGUUACUAUCCAGUCCAGGCCUAGACCGAACUGUCCUCUGAUCGGCUCAAUCCUAUUCAGUCUAGAUGGUUAAGCAGCCUCUCACUCUGUUUAACCCUUUGACCGAGUGUUGAUACUUUGACUGCCACGUUGGAUCCUUUGCCCCAAGCACUGACUAUUUGACUUGGUUUUGAGCAAGUAAUAUCAUUAGUCUCCCCCCCUCCAGUCAUUACGAAUCUUUAGGUUCGAGCACCUCUUGUCCGGUCGCCUAAUACAGAGUGCCCUUGGGGGAUGUGAUCUAAAUUAAUUGGCGCUUUGGUUUGGCAGCGAAAAUUUUAAAAUCUUACAUUAAAUGCCCCACAACUCACUAUAUAAACCCUCUUUUGUGUCCCUUUUCCAUUUUACUUUCUGCUUUGCUAUCUUCCAAUUUGUGCUCUCAGCUUUCUCCUGUGACUCUCCAUGAAUUUCUAUUUCUUCCAAUUCUAGUCUUGUGUCUUUUCUUCUCUUUCCUUCUUUUUGUCCAACUGUUUGCUCCAAUUAAAUGAGUGACUUAAGGAAAGCCGGGGUUCAAGCGUGACUCCCUCCUCAUCGAUGGUUGUUUUCAGUCAGGGUUCAAGUAUCUGAUUACUCUUCUCCGAUUCUGGUCACCCAGGAGAUGUCCCUAAGGUUAUUGGACCGCCAAAUACAGCAACUGUUGAACCCACAGUCGCAGUCGAGGCACCGUCCCACCAGAAUGUUGGUGCAAGCACUUCUAAGCCGAGCACGCCUACUAGAGUCUCUGCGGCCAUUUUCUCCUUGGGCGAGUGGGAUCUUCUUGAGCAAGUCCUAUGGCAUCGACAAUGAAAGAUUCUGGCUGUCACUCGUCGGGCGUCGAGGAUUAGCAGACAACACUUUUCUUCGCCCGGUUCAGGUAACUAUCUAUGAGGAUCAGCUGAAGUCUGGUUUGCAAUUGCUACUCGAUCCUCUCAACAUUGAAAUCCUCAAAUAUUACUGAUUGUCCACCCCUCACAUGCAUCUGAAUUCCCAGAGACUGUUAUCAAUGUUCAAGGCACUAUGCCAAAGAAAAAGACUAUAUGCUUCAGCUCGGGUAUUUUCCACCUUUUUUCAAUUGAACACACGAGAUAUCGUGGAGUAUUAGCACUUCCAUGCCCAUAAGGGGAUAGGCUUGUUCACUAGUCUUCCUUCCUCACUGAGGAAGUGGAAGGAUAGAUUUUUUUGUGGAAAACACUGUUGAUGAGCAAUGGGGUGGAAUCCAGACCGCCUGGAAUUCUUUAGCAGACAAGAGGGCGAGUGACUGAGGCUGGAUGUCAAAGAGAAAACAGUGGUUAACGAACUAAAGGCUGUUGUUUGGCGAGAGAAAAUACCGAUCAAAACUCUAAUAAAGCUUAAGGACAAAUAGUGGGAGGCCUUAUAUGGGUCUAGGAAUCUGGUGGUGGCCGAACAUUAUAACAUCCUGAUUGAGGGUAAAGACUUGAACUCAUCUUUUGAUCAUUUUUACUUACUGAAAUUCUUUCCUUUUCGCAGAAAUGUCGAACGGGGCAAAGAAUGUGGAGCAACUGAUUCGAAAAAAGAAGGUCGAAGCUCGCCCAAUUGUCGUUACCACCCCUCCUGCGCCAAAGAGGGUUAGGGUUACAACACUCUUGGCCUCUCCUACUGGUGGUGAGCAACAGACGGCUCCCCCAGUCACUGAGCCGAGAAUCGAAGAGUAAGAGAAUGCGCCAACUGCACCCUUUCAGCCAGUUGGGCAACAAACUGUUGAGAAGCUUCUAUCCGAGCAAUCAGUGGUCGAGAACUUCAAAUUGGCCGACUGGUUCGCCAAGCGAUACACUCUUCCCAUUGAUCGGGCUUGCCUAGAUCAAAACGAUGACAAUGAGCUUGCCCUCUGAGCCAUGACACUGCAAAUGUAGCAAAAUGUCUGCACACAGCUCCUUCGAGAGAGGAACAAAGCUUUGAGGGGGCAUGUUUGGUAGUCAGGAAAUAGAGAUUGCUUUGUUAAUUGAGUUCAUCUUUGCCUCUAAGAAGAAAAUUCAGAAGCAGGAGGGCAAGCUUCAAAA